UCUGCAUUCAAGUGUGUCCUCCACAAUGUUAAAAGAUCUGUUCUGUUUAAGAACGUGGCGCCAUUUCCAACUGAUAUUACUAUACCUCUUCCAGAUAGCCAGAUACAACUGCUGCAAUAGGACCUGAUCCAGCAAGAGUCAUCAGCAAAAAUUUUCUGAACUCCCUGAUUUGCAGAGGACCUGAGAGCUGGCAAAUCCCAACAGGAGAAGCUUGCGUGCAGCACCUUUGAAAAUCUGGCUAAUGAUGCUUGAAGUCAUUGCACAGAAAGACCGCCCAACAAAACAAAGAAAUGGCAUGAAUCCUGUUUCGAGUAGCUUAUGAAGGAUAACACAAAACCAUAGAAACACAGAGAUAGUAUUUGAAGCUUGAACCUGAUGUGGAAAGAGAGAGGAAGUCAUAAGAGAGAUCCGGUGGGAAGUGUCAUGGUCUGAGUGGGAACGUAUUUCUGAGAUGUCAGAUUCUUCCUAAAUCUACCACUCUUAUUGACUUCUAAUGGAAUAUCAUGUAUGGAUUUGAAGAGAAACAUUGAUCUGUAUGUUUAUUAUUCAAAACAAUCCAUUCAAAACAGUAACAAAAAUAAAUUCUAAAAAGCUCUCUAAAAACAUCAUACAAUGUGUCCAUUUAAUCAAGAAAGUCUGUCAA